CCUACGGGUGGCAGCAGUGAGGAAUAUUGGUCAAUGGACGCAAGUCUGAACCAGCCAUGCCGCGUGCAGGAAGACGGCUCUAUGAGUUGUAAACUGCUUUUGUACGAGGGUAAACGCAGAUACGCGUAUCUGUCUGAAAGGCUCGUACGAAUAAGGAUCGGCUAACUACUUGCCAGAAGCCGAGGUAAUACGGAGGGUACAAGCGUUAUCCGGAUUUAUUGGGUUUAAAGGGUGCGUAGGCGGUCGGAUAAGUUAGAGGUGAAAGCCCGAGGCUCAACUUCGGAACUGCCUCUGAUACUGUUCGGCUAGAGAGUAGUAGCGGUAGGCGGAAUGUAUGGUGUAGCGGUGAAAUGCUUAGAGAUCAGACAGAACACCGAUUGCGAAGGCAGCUUACCAAGCUACUUCUGACGUUGAGGCACGAAAGCGUGGGGAGCAAACAGGAUUAGAUACCCGGGUAGUC
rnacentral:rRNA from 1 species